rnacentral:tRNA from 1 species
AUUUAAAUAGCUUAUAUUUUAGAGUAUUGUAUUGAAGAUACAAAGGAGAUUUUUAAAUUUUUAAAUA